GAACUUACUAUUCAACUCUCUAUUAUUUAUAUAUUUUUUUUUUUGAAAUUUGAACUUUUUUGAAUUAUAAAAUUAAUAAAAUACUAAUAAUAAUUUUUUUUAACUCUUAAAUUUUUUAUAAUAAUGAAGAAUAUUCUACCAAUUUUUCUUAUUUCGACGAUGACUUUCUGCUGCAUUGGAGCAACAAACUCCACCACAAUAGAUUCUCAAAGGGAGGAGAUGCCAACAUUGCGUCUGGAGAUUUUACUCACAGAUGACGGAAAUUUGGGCAUCUAUUAAUGAAAUAUCAUAAAGUAGUAAUGGCUAAAUCGGUCCUAACAACACUCCACAUCUUAAAGACUUAUUUGAAACGGGAAAAAAUAUUCUUUCAAAUUGUUUCCAAAAAUCUAAUUUACUCAUAACGAUUUUUUUAAAACUAAUGGUUAAUAUUCUAUGGGGUCAAAUAUUACAUAAUAUGAAACUUUUAUCUUAGAAUAGUCAUUCCGAGGGAAUAAUUUUUAUAGAGAUUCGAGGUUUUAAU